AUUGAACGCUGGCGGCGUGCUUAACACAUGCAAGUCGAGCGGUAACAGGCGUAGCAAUACGUGCUGACGAGCGGCGAACGGGUGCGUAAUACAUCGGAAUCUGCCUCGUAGUGGGGAAUAACCCGGCGAAAGCCGGGCUAAUGCCGCAUACGAUCCACGGAUGAAAGCGGGGACGUAAGGCUCGCGCUAUGAGAUGAGCCGAUGUCGGAUUAGCUAGNGGUGAGGUAACGGCUCACCAAGGCGACGAUCCGUAGCUGGUCUGAGAGGACGGCCAGCCACACUGGGAC
rnacentral:rRNA from 1 species